rnacentral:tRNA from 1 species
CCUUCGAUAGCUCAGUUGGUAGAGCGGUGGACUGUAGAUCGUAUAGAAAUAGUGAUAGUGAAACAGUGAUCCAUAGGUCGCUGGUUCAACUCCGGCUCGAAGGA